rnacentral:rRNA from 1 species
UACGGAAGGCAGCAGUGGGGAAUAUUGCACAAUGGGCGAAAGCCUGAUGCAGCUAUGCCGCGUGUAUGAAGAAGGCCUUAGGGUUGUAAAGUACUUUCAUCGGGGAGGAAAAAACAAAACUAAUAAUUUUAUUUCUUGACGUUACCCGAAAAAGAAGCACCGGCUAACUCCGUGCCAGCAGCCGCGGUAAUACGGAGGGUGCUAGCGUUAAUCAGAAUUACUGGGCGUAAAGAGCACGUAGGUGGUUUUUUUAAAGUCAGAUGUGAAAUCCCUGGGCUUAACCUAGGAACUGCAUUUUGAAACUGAAAUACUAGAGUAUCGUAGAGGGAGGUAGAAUUCUAGGUGUAGCGGUGAAAUGCGUAGAUAUCUGGAGGAAUACCUGUGGCGAAAGCGGCCUCUUAAACGAAUACUGACACUGAGGUGCGAAAGCGUGGGGAGCAAACAGGGAUUAGGAUA